GAAAUGCGAUAAGUAAUGUGAAUUGCAGAAUUCAGUGAAUCAUCGAAUCUUUGAACGCACAUUGCGCCCGCCAGUAUUCUGGCGGGCAUGCCUGUUCGAGCGUCAUUUCAACCAUCAAGCCCCGCGCUUGUGUUGGGGACCUGCGGCUGCCGCAGGCCCUGAAAACCAGUGGCGGGCUCGCUGUCACACCGGGCGUAGUAGAUUUUAUCUCGCUCAGGGCGUGCUGCGGGUUCCGGCCGUUAAAAAGCCUUUUUUUACCCAAGGUUGACCUCGGAUCAGGUAGGAAGACCCGCUGAACUUAAGC
rnacentral:misc_RNA from 1 species